UGCAGUCGAGCGGACCAAUGCUCAUUUCAGCUUUGCUGAUUUGAGCAACGGUUAGCGGCGGACGGGUGAGUAACGCGUGGGCAACCUGCCCUGUGCAGGGGGAUAACACAGCGAAAGCUGUGCUAAUACCCCAUAAGACUACGCUAUCGCAUGAUAGAGUAGUCAAAGCUUUAGCGGCACAGGAUGGACCCGCGUCUGAUUAGCUAGUUGGNGGGGUAACGGCCUACCAAGGCGACGAUCAGUAGCCGACCUGAGAGGGUGAACGGCCACACUGGAACUGAGACACGGUCCAGACUCCUACGGGAGGCAGCAGNGGGGAAUAUUGCACAAUGGGGGAAACCCUGAUGCAGCAACGCCGCGUGAGCGAAGAAGGCCUUCGGGUCGUAAAGCUCUGUCCUAAGGGAAGAAGCAUGACGGUACCUUAGGAGGAAGCCCCGGCUAACUACGUGCCAGCAGCCGCGGUAAUACGUAGGGGGCGAGCGUUAUCCGGAAUCACUGGGCGUAAAGGGUGCGUAGGCGGCCGAGUAAGCCAGAGGUGAAAGGCUACGGCUUAACCGUAGUAAGCCUUUGGAACUACUUGGGCUUGAGUGCAGGGANAGGAGAGUGGAAAUUCCUAGGUGUAGNGGNGAAAUGGCGNUAGAUAUUAGGAGGGAACACCAGNGGCGAAGGCGACUCUCUGGACUGUAACUGACGCUGAGGCACGAAAGCGUGGGGGNGCAACNGGAUUAGAUACCCUGGUAAGUCCACGCCGUAAACGAUGAGUGCUAGGNGNCGGGGGUUCCCACCCUCGGUGCCGGAGUUAANGCAUAAGCACUCCNCCUGGGGAGUACNGUCUCNAGACUGAAACUCAAGGNAUUGGACGGGGAUCCGCACANACAG
rnacentral:rRNA from 1 species